rnacentral:lncRNA from 1 species
GGAAAAUUCUAGCGUGAGGUCAUAAAAUUGGCCUCUUUGAUGAGAUAGCCACUGUGACCAAUAUAAAAGUAAGUUGACUUAUUCAAAUGCCACAUAGGAUUAUAUGGUACAUAUCACUUACUAUGUACAUUCAUGUCUAUUAAUAUUGUAAAUAAGUCCCUAUCAUAUUAAAAGUUACAUAAUUACCUCAAUCUUUAUAUUCUUUUAUUAAUUUUAGUUGUUAUUGUUAAAAUCAAUUGAAACAAUAUCACAACAACAUCAUCAUUUUCUGUUCAAACAAAUUGCUUCUUACAUUCCUAUUAAAAAAUAAAAAUAAUCUCUUCUUCCAAUAUAAUGUUCACAAAUAAAUCAAACAAAAAAAACACUUCAUCCUCAUCCUAAUUGAUCGGAUCUGAUUUAUUAGAAGAAGUUCAUAGUGUAGAUGGUUGAAGGUAGUGGCUGGAGUUUUUC